GGUGGAUUAGUGGCGAACGGGUGAGUAACACGUGAGUAACCUGCCCCCGACUUUGGGAUAAGCCCGGGAAACUGGGUCUAAUACCGGAUAUGACUUCCUGCCGCAUGGUGGGUUGUUGAAAGAUUUAUCGGUGGGGGAUGGACUCGCGGCCUAUCAGCUUGUUGGUGAGGUAAUGGCUCACCAAGGCGACGACGGGUAGCCGGCCUGAGAGGGUGACCGGCCACACUGGGACUGAGACACGGCCCAGACUCCUACGGGAGGCAGCAGUGGGGAAUAUUGCACAAUGGGCGGAAGCCUGAUGCAGCGACGCCGCGUGAGGGAUGACGGCCUUCGGGUUGUAAACCUCUUUCAGUAGGGAAGAAGCGAAAGUGACGGUACCUGCAGAAGAAGCGCCGGCUAACUACGUGCCAGCAGCCGCGGUAAUACGUAGGGCGCAAGCGUUAUCCGGAUUUAUUGGGCGUAAAGAGCUCGUAGGCGGUUUGUCGCGUCUGCCGUGAAAGUCCGAGGCUCAACCUCGGAUCUGCGGUGGGUACGGGCAGACUAGAGUGAUGUAGGGGAGACUGGAAUUCCUGGUGUAGCGGUGAAAUGCGCAGAUAUCAGGAGGAACACCGAUGGCGAAGGCAGGUCUCUGGGCAUUUACUGACGCUGAGGAGCGAAAGCAUGGGGAGCGA
rnacentral:rRNA from 1 species